rnacentral:misc_RNA from 1 species
GAUGAAGAACGCAGCGAAAUGCGAUAAGUAAUGUGAAUUGCAGAAUUCAGUGAAUCAUCGAAUCUUUGAACGCACAUUGCGCCCGCCAGUAUUCUGGCGGGCAUGCCUGUCUGAGCGUCAUUUCAACCCUCAGCCCCCGCUCGCGGGGCGCUGGCGUUGGGGAUCGGCCGUCCUUGCGGCGGCCGGCCCCGAAACACAGUGGCGGUCUCUCGCGGACUCCCCUGCGUAGUAGCACUACCUCGCAGAAGGGACGAGCGGGCUGACCACGCCGUAAAACCCCCCACUUCUCCAGGUUGACCUCAGAUCAGGUAGGAAUACCCGCUGAACUUAAGCAUAUCAAUAAGCGGAGGA